UGGAGAGUUUGAUCCUGGCUCAGGACGAACGCUGGCGGCGUGCUUAACACAUGCAAGUCGAACGAUGAACUGGGAGCUUGCUCCUGGGGAUUAGUGGCGAACGGGUGAGUAACACGUGAGUAACCUGCCCUUGACUCUGGGAUAACUGCUGGAAACGGUAGCUAAUACUGGAUAUGACCCCUGAAGGCAUCUUCUGGGGGUGGAAAGAAUUUCGGUCAAGGAUGGACUCGCGGCCUAUCAGCUAGUUGGUGAGGUAAUAGCUCACCAAGGCGACGACGGGUAGCCGGCCUGAGAGGGUGACCGGCCACACUGGGACUGAGACACGGCCCAGACUCCUACGGGAGGCAGCAGUGGGGAAUAUUGCACAAUGGGCGCAAGCCUGAUGCAGCAACGCCGCGUGAGGGACGACGGCCUUCGGGUUGUAAACCUCUUUUAGUAGGGAAGAAGCGAGAGUGACGGUACCUGCAGAAAAAGCACCGGCUAACUAACGUGCCAGCAGCCGCGGUA
rnacentral:rRNA from 1 species